AUGGGGAAGGGGAGAAGGCACGCCGAGGGCACCAGGGUGCUCGUCGUGCCCUUGCGAGGUCGAGUCCGGGCUCACUUUGACGAGAACAGCAGCGGGGCGGAGCGCAGCGGAGGUCGGGAUCUCGGCGACUUCAAUGGCGGCGGCAAGCUUUGAUUAGGGUUUUGCGGGGGCUUGGGAGAGCGAUUAGGGCUUCUAGGGAGGCGUGCGGCGGCUGCAGGGCGCCCUUAAAUAGGUGAAGGCGAACCUCGGUUCGCGUGUGCGCAGAAACCGGGGCGGCGGCGCGGCGGCUGCCCCGUCCGAAUCGGACGGGAGGUUGGGGAUGACCACCCCGCUGACAGGUGGGGCCCCCUGGUCAGCGGCUGCGGGUGGAGAGGAGGCAGGCGGGGGCGCUGGGCUGGGCACUCGGGGCGCAGGUGCUGCGUGGCUGGGCCGCGGCCCACUCGGGCGUGCAGGGGGGGAAGGGAGGCCGGCCCAGGGCGCUUGCCCUUUUCCUUUCUCUUUUUUUUUUCUUUUUAUUCAAAAGGGUUUAAACUAAAUUUUCAACACCUUUAUAAACCAAAAUUUGAUUUAUUAAUUUGGGUCGUUUUGAGAAUUGUUUUCUCUACUGCUUUUGAAAACAAAGCAUUUUUUUUCUUAAUAACAUAUUUUUAAAUUAUUUUUCCACUCAAAUAUAAAUUAGUUUUCAAAUAUGACUUUUGGAGUUUUAUUUUUUUAAAAACCGAAAGGACCUAAACGUGCUCUCUAGAAAUUUUGAAAUUCAUUUUUCUGAGACAAGCCAAACAAAGCUAGGGCACAAAACACACAUCAAAUAAAACACCCUCCACUUAAUUUAUUAAAAGUUUUAAAAUUCCACAUUUUUCUCAUUUUAUAUUAACAACAAUGAAUAAAAUCUUGGAAUAUUUUACAAAAAUUUUUAAAUCCUUAAUUAAUUUAGUGUUUUCUAAUAACAAUCCAAAAUUAAAAAUUUUGGAGUGUUAUUUGUUGCCUCGAUCGGAUCUUAACGACCUGGACCAAGCGGCGACGUGGACGUGCGGGAUGAACAUGGUCGCGCGACACACAAGAAUUGGCGGCGACGGGCGAAGGAAUUGCGCGUGAAAAAGAAAGCGCCCGCGCGACGCGCGAGAGAAUUUCCCGCGAAGAUGAAAGAUUCUCGGAUAAAAAUAGUUAGGUCUACUAUUUUGGGAAAUGCCAAGUCAAAAAUGCCAAACACUUGGAGAUGAACUUAUUUUUUCUUUGGCAAAACGUUUAGGGACUUGGCAAAUUCCAGCAAAUGACAAAUUUUAAUUGCAUAACUGUUGGAUGCUCUUAGAGCAUCUCCAAGGGCCUCUCCAAAUCAAUUUUGCAUUUGGUAAUUUGCAAAAAACCACAAAAAGAGGGCUCCAAUGGUUUUGUAAAUGAGUUUUGCAUUUGUGCAAACUUUGCAAAUCUUUCUCCCAACUUGGCAUUUAUGCAGAGGACUCUGGGUUUGGCAAAAUAGAGUAUGCCAAGUCAGUUUUGCAAAGGUCCUUGGAAUAGGCAUCUUUUUAGGCUUUGCAUUUUGUUUUGAGACUUUGCAAAUAACCUCAAAUGCAAAACUGAUUUGGAGAGGCCCUUGGAGAUGCUUACAAGCAAAGAUUAACAUACAUUAGGUAUAUACAACUUCCAAUAUAACCAAGUCAUAGUUUGUACCUUUACAAAUAUUUGUUACAAUUGAAUAUAUCAUUUCAUCUAUAUCUCUGGCAGCGCUCCGCAAUCUUAAGUGUGCUAAGUUGAGAUUGUGUCACCAGAUUUUCUUUUAACAGGAAGUGACUAGAUAAUAAAUCAAUCUACGAAUUCUUCACCUCAAGGCAUAAAAUAAGCUUCUAAUAACUUUCUGUACACAUGUUUCUUCCUAGAACGAUAAUCCCACUUCCAUAUGCAUCAUUGUAACAAGACAAUGAAUGUUCUCGAAUAUUAUUACAUAUUCACACCAUAACUUAGUUAUUUGACAUUGACGAAAUUGAGGAAGGAGAUUUUUUAAUUCGCUUUAAGCUACGACAUAAGCAUGAUGAUUUUAAGUUUAAUUUGAUUUCAGUUUAUGGACCGGCACAGUUAGACCAAAAAUCAAAUUUCCUGUCUAAGUUGGUGUGAAUAUGUUCAAAAGAAACCUUACCUUUAGUGAUAGGUGGUGAUUUUAACAUUAUUCCUAGGCCUGGUGAGAAAAACAAUAAUAACUACAAUGACAGGUGGCCUUUCUUGUUUAAUGCAGUAAUAGAUACCCUCAACAUGAGAGAAUUAGAGAUGUCAGGCAGAAAGAUUUACUUGGGCUAAUCAUAUGCAAAACCAAACUUUUGAAAAAUUGGACCGAGUGUUGGUUUGCAACGACUUUGAAUUUAAAUUUCCGCAUUCUACUUUACAUGCUUUGUCCAGAGAGAUAUCCGAUCACACUCCUUUAUUCUUGAAUACUAAUAACCCAUCGUCGUCUUACCAGCUCCCAUUCAAAUUUGAAUUAGGAUGGUUGAUGAGAGAGGGUUUUUGUGACAUGGUACAAGAUGUGUGCAAUAGUAUGAUUGUCAUUGGCACUCCUUUGGAGAGGUGGCAAGCCAAAAUCAGGAGGCUACGCCAAUACCUACGAGGGUGGGCAAAAAAUAUAAGUGGGGCAUAUAAGAAAGAGAAGCAAACUUUAUUGAAUAAAUUAGAUGAGCUAGACAAAAAGGCAGAAAGUUCUAUUCUAGGAGAUUUAGAUUUAAAUCUAAAACAUGUUCUAAAUGAAAGAUUGUCCGAAUUACUUAGGGAGGAGGAAAUUAAAUGGUACCAAAGAGCAAAAGUAAAACAUCUCCUGGAGGGCGAUGCAAACACAAAAUACUAUCAUUUGCUUGCAAAUGGUUGACAUCGAAAAACCCGUAUUUUCUAGUUGGAAGAUGGGUCAAAUAUAAUAACUGGUGAUGCCCAGCUUAAAGAGCAUAUUACCAGCUAUUAUAAAAACUUGUUUGGCCCCCCAUAAGUGUCUAUGGUGUCCCUUGAUGAGCUCCAAAUAGAGGAUAUCCGUCAGGUCUCUAUAUUUUAAAACGAACACCUCACAGAACAAUUCUCGGAGAAUGAGGUUAGGGCUGCGAUUUUCCAAAUGGAGCACAAUAAGCUGUCUGGGCCAGAUGGAUUCCCACCAGAGUUUUACCAGUUUUUUUAGAACUUGAUAAAAGAUGAUUGAUGGCUUUGUUUAGGGAAUUCCAUCAAGGCGAGUUGCACCUAGAUACCUUAAACUUUGGUAAUAUAAUUUUACUCCCAAAAAAGGAUGAUGCAAGAGUCAUACAACAAUAUAGACCGAUUUGUUUGUUGAAUGUCUCCUUCAAGAUUUUCACAAAGGUGGCACUGAAUAGACUAACAUCUGUUGCACAUAAUAUUAUUAGACCUACCCAAACAGCUUUUCUUCCAGGUUGAAAUAUUAUGGAGGGAGCGGUGAUCUUACAUGAAACUAUACAUGAGUUGAGUUCAAAGAAACAAGAUGGUAUUAUUUUUAAAAUAGACUUUGAGAAGGCAUAUGAUAAUGUGAAAUGGAGCUUUUUGCAACAAAGUUUAAGGAUGAAAGGGUUCUCACAAAAAUGGUGUGAUUGGGUUCAGCACUUCACGCAAGGGGGCAAUGUUAACAUUAAGGUAAAUGAUCAAUUAGGAUCCUAUUUCCAAACAAAAAAGGGCUUGAGGCAGGGUGACCCAUUGUCGCCAAUACUAUUUAAUAUAGUGGUAGAUAUGUUGGCCAUACUCAUUGCUAGAUCAAAGGAAGCAGGAUAGGUGGAAGGGGUUAUUCCUCAUCUGAUCCAAGAUGGUUUAUCUAUACUGCAAUAUGCGGAUGACACGGUGAUCUUUAUGAGCCAUGAUAUCCAAAAGGUGAUUAAUAUGAAAUUGAUACUAACUACCUUUGAGAAACUAUCAGGGCUCAAGAUCAACUUCCAAAAGAGUGAAAUCUUUUGCUUUGGGAAAGCAAAAGAACAUGAAGAGUUUUAUACGCAAUUAUUCGGUUGUGAUGUCGGAAAGUACCUUUUCGCUAUCUGGGCUUACCCAUGAACACAAGAAAAUUAAGUAAUAGAGAUUGGCAAGAAAUAGAAAACAGAAUUGAGAAGAGACUAAGUGGUUGGAAAGGUAAGAUGCUUUCCACCGGUGGUCGUUUAGUACUGAUAAACUCGGUACUUUCCAGCCUACCAAUGUUUAUGCUGUCUUUUUGGAAAUUCCACGAGGUGUGUUACAAAAAAUGGACUAUUUUAGGUCGAGGUUUUAUUGGCAGAAUGACCAAGACAAACUAAAAUACAUAUUAGUUAAAUGAGAAAUUCUAUGCCAACCAAAAAUUCAAGGAGGUUUAGGUAUUCAGAACUUGGACAUACAAAACAAGUGUUUGCUAAGCAAAUGGCUUUUUAAAUUGUUAAAUGAAGAUGGUUUGUGGCAAGAACUUUUGAGGAACAAAUAUAUUAAAGACAAGAUGUUAGGGGGUUGUGUAAAAAGGGCAAUAGAUUCCCAUUUCUGGAAAAGUCUGAUGAAUGUUAAGGAGGUUUUUAUGAGUUUCGGAUCGUUCAAAAUCAUGAAUGGCAAGCAAACUCAUUUCUGGUUGGACACGUGGCUGGGUAAUCGCCCACUUAAAGAUAGAUUUCCUACUUUGUUUAACAUAGUAAGAAUAAAUCAUAAUUCUGUAGCUAAGGUACUUAGUUCAGUUCCACUAAACAUUUCUUUUCGAAGGAAUUUAGUGGGAAGAAAUCUAAGAGAUUGGCAUAGAAUUGUUAAUUCUUUACUUGAUGUAUUUAUUUGGGCUUUACAUUCAUCAGGGAGCUUCUCAGUUAAGUCUAUAUAUGUUGCGUUGAUUAACACAAUGGAGUUAGAGUUUCACAAGAUAUUUGGCGUAUUAAAAUUCCUUCAAAAAUAAAGAUAUUUUUGUGGUAUCUAAAAAAGGGUGUAAUUUUAACUAAAGAUAACCUGGCCAAGCGUAAUUGGGUUGGAGACACGAGGUGUAGCUUUUGCUACUCACCAGAAAAUAUUCAACACCUUUUCUUAGACUGUUUCUACGCCAAAUUCUUAUGGCGCGUUGUACACCUUUUGUUUGGGGUCUCGCCUCCACAUAGUAUAGAAGACAUGUUUAAUAGAUAGUCGAAAUUGGGAGGGAAGAAACAUAACAAAUUGUUAUUGACUGCGGCAUCAGCGUUGCUAUGGACAAUUUAGCUCACGAGAAACGAAGUGAUUUUUGAUAAAUGUAGACCAAAAUCUUUUUUGCAGGUUCUGUUCAGGGGAACUCACUAGCUACGUCAAUGGGCAAAGUUGCAGCGGUGUGACAAACUAUGAGGCUAGCUUAUCCUAGUAGGACAAUACCUUGAGACAUCUGCUUUGUAUUUCUUAGGCUCCAGUGGUUGGUUGUCAACUAGGAGCAUUGGUCUUGUUUAGUUCUUAAACUAUAUUUCGUUUGCUUGAGUGAGUACUGUGAGUUGCUUUUUCUUUACAGCAUGGGUGCUGGUGUGUGGUUCUUCUUUGUAAUAAUUGGUUGAGUCUACCUUUGUAGAUGAAGCCAGAUAUGAACUAUCCAUUAUCUAAAAAAAGUUAUUUGUAGACUUUGUAGCCCAGCCACAGGCAACAAGGUCUGACAAACCUGCAUAUGGUUUCAAUAGUUGCAGUAGCAAAUGUCACACCCGUAACCGCGGCGGGUCACCGGCGGCAUGAGAUCUCGACAGAAUUACGGCAAACCCCGGCGCUGGUGUGGGCAAACCCCCAGCCUUGGCGUCCUUGCUUUACUGAUGUCUGAAUCGAAUAAGUCUCAUUACAGAACUGGAGACACUUAUGUGUCUGCCUACAGUACUGGCACUAGGGCCCACAUGUCAUAGACAUGGUUGAAUACAAGUAAUGGAAAAUGCGCUAAUGCUCUAUGAAGGCGGCUUCUGUGCGUCGUGGCCAUCGUGUGUGACACCUCCUCCCCCUUGAGUUCCAGCUUGUCCCCAAGUUGGUGCUUCUGGAAACCUUGCCUUGACGACAUUGUAGUCUUCCUAGGUUGUAGCAGUAGCAGGGAGUCGAACCCACGUGAGCUUCACCUGUGGAAUGGCCGAGUUGCCCUUGCGAACCAAACGGCGGUCGAUGACUUCCUUGGGUACUGCAUCUGUGGCUUCGAGGUCAGUGAUCUUGGGUAAAGCAUCAAACAUUGGACUGUAGUCUAGAGUGAAUGGUUUGAGCUGAGAGAUGUGGAAUACAGGAUGGAUCAUGGACUCAGCUGGCAGCUGGAGCUUGUAGGCCAACUUACCCACCCGUUGCAGGACCUUGUAAGGGCCAUAUUAUUUGAAUGCCAAUUUUGGGUAUGGUCUGUUGGCCACUGUUGAUUGAGUAUAUGGCUGGAGCUUCAGCAACACUUGAUCUCCCACCUAGAAUUGAAAAUCCCUACAUUUCUUGUCAGCAGCUAGUUUCAUUUUGUUCUGAGCUCUGGCGAGGUGUGUCUUCAAAGACUGCAGAUGCUGUUCUCUAUGCUCAAUCAUUUCAGUAACAGGGACAGAUGUUGCAGUUGAGGUUGUUGGUUCAGCUGCCAAUCUGGGUUCAUAACCAAACAUAGCCUUGAAUGGGGAGCAGCCCAAAGCAAAGUGUAAAGAAGAGUUAUACCAAAGCUUAGCUAAAGGCAACCAUUGUUUCCAUGAUUUGGGAGAUUCAUGCACGGCACAUCUCAAAUACAUCUCAAGGCACUGAUUCACCCUCUCUGAUUGUCCAUCAGUCUGUGGAUGAUAGGUUGUGCUGAGAUUCAGUGUGGUCUUGUAGGUUGUGAACAGUUCUUUCCACAAAUGGCUAACAAAUAUAGGAUCUCUAUCUGAGGUAAUAGAGCUUGGCAAGCCAUGUAGUUUCACAAUGUUGUCCAUGAAUGCUUGUGCUACCACAGCAGCAGUGUAAGGGUGCUUGAGGGGAAUGAAAUGGGCAGCUUUGGUGAGUCUGUCCACUACUACUAGAAUGACACUGUAACCCUCAGAUUUAGGCAGUCCUUCGAUGAAAUCCAUGGUCAAGUCUUGCCACAUACCUUCUGAAAUGGGUAGGGGUUGGAGGAGUCCCAUUGGAUUUUGCAGAGAGUGUUUGGCCUGCUGACAAACUGCAUAUUGUUUGAUGAAAUUCUCAAUGUCUGUCUUCAUGCCUUUCCAGGAAAAAUGUUUCCUGAGUCUGUAGUAAGUUGGAGCAAUGCCUAAGUGACCACCUAGAGCACUGGAGUGGGAACUGGCAAUGAGUUUAGUUUGUAGAGCUGAGUUGUCCCCAAUCCAGACCUUCCCAUGCUUCGAGAUGAGGCUCUUGUCUAGAGAGAAACAGUGAGAAUCAGGGCUGGAGACUGCCAAUUGUUUGAGAAGUUGUUGGGCCUUGGGGUCUGUUGUAUAUGAGUUGAGUACCUCUUGCACCCAAAUUGGUUGGACUGUGGAGACUGCCUGAAUAGCCAUCAUAUGCCCCACUCUUGAUAAAGCAUCAGCAGCUAAGUUUUCCUUGCCCUUCUUGUAAAUGAUUCUGAAGUUCAGACCCAUCAUCCUGGUCAUUGCUUUGCGCUGCAUCUCAGAGUGGAGGUUCUGUUCCUUAAGAUAGGCCAAGGAUUUGUGGUCUGUCUGAAUGAUGAAUUCUCCUCUCUGUAGGUAGUGUCUCCAUUUGUCAACUGCCAUGAUUAAGGUCAAGAAUUCUUUCUCAUAUAUUGACAGGGUUUUAUGCCUGUCUCCCAAUGCCUUGCUCAGGUAAGCAAUGGGUUGAUGUUUCUGCAUCAGAACUGCUCCAAUGCCAUCUUGACAUGCAUCUGUUUCUACUAUGAAAGUUUCCUGAAAAUUGGGUAAGGCCAGCACUUGGGUAGUUGUCAUGGCUGUCUUUAGUUGUUGAAAAGCUUCCUAGGCCACUGGGUUCCACUCAAAGUGUUUGAGUCUCAGAAUAGCAGUGAGUGGCUUGCUGAUGAUGCCAUACCCUUUGACAAACUUUCUAUUGUAACCUGUGAGUCUUAGGAAGGCUCUUAAUUCAGUCAUGGAAGUUGGCUGAGGCUAGUUGAGCAUGUCAGUAAUCUUAGAAGGAUCUGUGGAAACCCCUUUGGAUGAAAUGAUGUGUCUGAGGUAUUCUAGACUGUCCUGUGCAAAGCUGCAUUUGGACUCCUUCAGGUAUAGUUGAUGGCGUCGAAGUGUUUCCAACACUAGCUCUAGAUGAUAGAAGUGCUCCUCCUGAGAAGGGUUGUAAAUGGGGAUGUCAUCUAGAAAGACUAGUACAAAUUUUCUAAGAUAAGGCUUUAAGACUUCAUUCAUGACACACUGGAAAGUUGCAGGGGCAUUGGUUAGACUGAAAGGCAUGACUUUGUGUUGAUAGUGGCCAUGGUGGGUCUUGAAUGUUGUUUUGUGUUCAUCCUCAGGUAGCAUCCUGAUCUGGUCGUACCCUGAUCUCAUGUCCAGUUUGGUGAAAACUUGAGAACCAGCUAGUUCAUCCAGUAUCUCAUCUAUCACAGGCAUUGGAAAUUUGUUCUUGAUGGUGAUGUCAUUUAAUUUCCUAUAAUCAACACAUAGUCUCCAAGUGCCAUCCUUCUUUUUUACCAACAUUACUGGGGAGGCAUAAGGACUAUGGCUAUGAGUAAUGAGCCCUGACUGUAGCAGGUUUUGUACCUAUUGCUCAAUUUCAGUUUUAUGCUGGGGAGAAUAGUGAUAGGGCUUGGAGUUGAUUGGUUGAGAUCCAGGGAGGGUGGGGAUUGCAUGAUCAUAUCCUCUUGAAGGAGGUAAAGCUUGGGGAUCAGUGAAGACAUCCUUAUAGACUACUAACAGGUCUUGAAUGGUAUCUGGUAGUUGUCGGAUGUCUUUGGUGCUAGUGACUGCUGGUGGUGGGACUUGAUCCACUAGAACAAACACCCAAAUGGCAUUACCCUUGGUAGAGUUGUAGACUUUGGUGGCAGAAAUGGAGGAAAGUUGUAGUGGUGGACUGGUGAGACCCUUGAGCUUAACUGGUCUGCCCUUUUCAAGAAAUUCUAUUGUUUUUGCCUGCCAGUCACACUUCAUGGGACUAUGUGUGCUGAGCCAAUCAUAGCCAAGUAUGGCAUCAUAGGGUUGCGUGUCCAGGACUAUCAUAUCAGUUGAGAAGCUCUGCCCCUGGUAGUAGCACUGAAGCUGAGCUACCAUUUUGUUGGUGGUCAAAUGUUGCCCAUUGGCUAGUUUGACCUUCGUGGUGGGACAGGGUACAAUUGUCAGUCCGGCCAUAUCCACAAAUUGUUAACUGAUGAAACUGUGAGUGCUGCCACUGUUAAUCAGGAUGAGCAGGACCUUGUCCUUGACUUUGGCUUUCAGUUUGAUACAAUUGAGUGUGUCUUGACUAGAUAGGGCAUUGAGGGAUAGCUCACUGAAUUGUUCUUGUAACACAUCUUCAGCAGCAAGUUCAUUCAGAUAGUUCUCUGUCCAGAUCAUUAACUGUCAAUGCAUUGACUUGGGGUUUCUGUCGCUUGGGACAGACAUCCAGAUGGCCUGGGACAAUUUUUUCUCCACAGCUAUAGCAUAGCGCAUUAGCUUUUCUAUAGUCUCUCAAUUGUCUAUCUUUCCACAAUAAGGAAGAUUGCACAUUCUCCUUGGGGUCAGAUCUGGGCUGAUGGUAUUGUUUGUGCUGAGGAGUAGACUUGUUGAACUUGGGCUUACUACGUUCCAAGACCAUUUGUUGCACUUUUGCUAAGGUUGAGGCCUUUAGAAUAGUGGUAGGCAUUUGUGCUUCAACCAUGCCUCUGAUGUCAUCCUUGAGACCCAUGAUGUAUUGUUGAGUGAAGAACAUGUCAUCAUAAUGAGCAUUGUGCAUAGACACUCCAUACUGCAAAUUUUGAAACUUUGAUGUGUAGUCCUCUACUGUUCCUGUCUGUUUGAGGUCCAGUAAAUCAUGCAUGGAGGUUCUGAAGUCAUCUGAGCCAAACUCUUGUAGGAUAACACUGCAAAAAUGUGUCCAGCUUUUGAGGUUACUCUUUUGCUUGAAUGCUUGGUACCAUCGAGCUGCAUUAUCUUUCAAAUGCAGUCGUGCUGCUGUGAUCCACAUGCCUUCAGGGAUCUGAUAAAGCUCAAAGUAACUAGAGCAGUUAUCCAGCCACACUUUGGGAUCAGUACCAUAGAAAUCAGGAAAGUCCAUCUUGGGCAUAGCAGAUUUUGGUAGGAUCUAUUUGUCAGGUAUAUGUGCAAUGUCUUUCUUUGUUUGCCGAGGAUUGGGAAUUGCUCUGUGUGAUGGUUCAGGCUUGUCCAGUUUGAUUGGUUUGGCAAACACAUUCUGGAACGACUCAUGAUCAUCCAUGAUUUGAGAGUUCAUGUCCUCCUCAGCUACGUCAGUCUCAUCAUCAAAUUUCGGCUGCCCUGCAUACUUGUCAGCAUCUUCCAUCUGCCUAAUUGUGACCCUGGCUAUGGCUUCCCCAUUGGCCUGGACUUGCUUGGUAAUGAGGUGUUGUUCCUGGGCGUAUUCAUCCAUUGCAGCUGAUCUCAGGUCCAUUUGAGCUUUCAUUUGCCGCUGCACUGUAUGAAUGUCCUUGAUCUACUGGAACAUGACUUCCAGGUUCCGCUGCAGAUCUGCCCAAUGACUGUCGUCCUCCUCUGAAUGCCUAGACAUGUUGUCCAGGAUGAUGCGAGUUUGUUGUGAGGGCAGGACCACACCUUACUUCUUAGGACCCGUGGUGAAAGGUUGGGAAUUGCCCAAGGAAACUCGAUUCAGGUACCCGUAGUAGGUUUGGGAAAAUCCCUCCCCUGUUGCACUACGAAUACAAUCACCGCCGCCUGAGAGUGAGGCGGAACCGAGGGAUUUUACACCAGAACAGAUGUGAGGGCGCACCUGCACAUAGUCUGGCAACCCAAGUUUAGGGACACUCUCCCGCCAACGCCUCCGCACCACAAGAGUGGAGAAAGCUACGAAAUUUUACACAGGAACAGAUGCCCUGCAACCCUCGCUUCGUGUUCGCGCGUGCUAGAUGUAUGGAAAACAGAGCAAAGAUUGGAAAUUGCUCACUGGUUCCGCCGCCGAACCCGGUGUUGUCGAUGUAGUCCACCAGUCGAACAGGUGGUGUGCCGUAGAUCGAGUCGGUGUAGAACGGUCGCCGGAAGAUGGUAAGCGGUGGACGGGGGUGGUGUUGCUGACGCGGUCGUGAGGAUCCGCGACGAGCUGGAGGUGGAGGUGGAGGUGGAGGUGGAGGUGGUCGUCGCGGUUUCUGCUCCGCGGCGGACCGAUAACUUGGCGGCGAGAUCGGAUCGUCACCCACACGCCGAGGAAGGAUAGCUCUGGAUACCAACUGUCACACCCGUAACCGUGGCGGGUCACCGGUGGCGUGAGAUCUCGACAGAAUUACGGCAAACCCCCAGCCUUGGCGUCCUUGCUUUACUGAUGUCUGAAUCGAAUAAGUCUCAUUACAGAACUGGCGACACUUAUGUGUCCGCCUACAGUACUGGCAUUAGGGCCCACAUGUCAUAGACAUGGUUGAAUACAAGUAAUGAAAAAUGCGCUAAUGCUCUAUGAAGGCGGCUUUUGUGCGUCGUGGCCAUCGUGUGUGACAGCAAAAGUUUCUUGCUCUUCUUCUAUAAACCAACUCUGUACAAAGGCCUCUAGAAAUCAAGCAUUUCUAGCAUCCAUCCCUAAAAACUGAUUUCUAGAUAGAGGACAAAACAUUAGCCGGCCUAAGAAUCAAUUUCCACGGAUGAGCGAUAUUACCAGCUGCCCCAGAAAAUUCAUUUUUAGAAGGUAGUUGGAAACACCGGCUGCCUUUGAAAAUACAUUUGUAUAUGCGGUUGUUGGUAGGACCAUCAGUCACCAAAAACAAUUUGACUUUUCUUUUUAAGAUUUCUGUUUAGUUCUGUAAUUCAUAUAUAAUAUAAUGUUACAAAAGUACAAGUGGUCUCAUGAUUCAACAUAAAAGUAGGGCAUGUUUGGUUCCCUUUGCUAAAUUUUAGCUAGCUAAAAUUAUUUUAGCUAACUUUGGGUGACUAAUGGAACUAAACUAUUUUAGCUCAUUUUAGUCAAUGUGUUUAGAAUUUUAGCUACUAAAGUGACUAAAGUUUAGUUAGCUAAAAUUUAGCAAGGGGAACCAAACAAGCCUAUAGUCUCAUAGUUUUAUUAUACAAGUUAUAUGAAGCUAGAUAUAAGCGGCCUGAUAAAUCCAUAUACAUGUCAAUUUUUAGCUUUGUGUUUUAUUCGUGACUUCUCUCAACAUGGAUUUGUGGAACUUCUAUCAUGGAGCUGGGUCCUGUCGACGCGUUUGGCAAACGGAGUCAUGAAACGGCUCGUAAAAAGAGGCUGUUGGAGCUCUACCGAAUAAUGCUGUCAGAGACUUUGUUUGCCUAUUUGUAUGUCUUUUUAAACAUAAUGGAAAGAAGCUCUUCUUUUUAAUUAAUUAAAGAAGAAUAUAAUUGAUCUAGUUUUUACGAAAAACAGGCCUAAAAAUCUAUCCCUAAUACUAAAGAGGCAAAAUUUCAUCCUCAAAUUUCGUCUGGACUCAAAUUUCGUCUGGCCUCCCUAACAUCCGAAUCCGAAUAGGAUACAAAUACAAAACAUAUGAUUUUUAAAAAAAAAUUAAAAUCCGAAACAUUAGAGUCCCCUCAUCGUGGACCGGACAGAGGAAGAAAUAGAGAGGCACAAGAGGAGUAGAGUCCCAAAUCGAGACCAUCACCACUGAGAAUGAAUCAAAAACACCAUAUCGAUCAAAAACAAGUUAAUCCAUACACGAAUCGAUCGAGGAGAAAAUUAAAGAAAUAUAAUCGAAACAAGAAAAUCAGAUAAAGCAUCAAAGAGGGUCAUGCUUCUAGGGCGCCUGCAUCGCCAGUCAGGUCCGCCUGUGCCGCCAGCUUGGCGUUGGCCGGCCCGGGUGCCCGUGCCGUCGCCUCCCCACAAGCACGCAUCCAGAUACACCUAUGCCGCCGGCCAGGUCUUCCGCGCACAUCGGCCAUGUGCGCCUGUGUCGCUGCCUCCGCGAAGCCUGGCCAGGCCUAAUUCGCACACGGUGGAAGAAAGGAGGAGUAGGGAGGAGCAACGGCUAGAUGGGUAAGCGGCGUAGGCAAGCUACGCUAGCACUGGGAUCAGCUGUCGUACCGACGAGCGAGUGUGAGCGAGGAACUUCGUGAGCGAGCGGCGGCCAUGCCUGUUCGUGUGUCCUGGACAUGUCUGUUCCUUUAUUAAUCAUAUUGAAGAAAUGUGACACACGUACAUGGGCUAGGGCAAAGGCCCAAUAUUUAACAACCGACCAAGGCCAACCCAAAUUUGUUCAAAAAAAUAUUCAUUGUACUACAAAAUUAUAAUAAAGAAAAAUAAAUAUUUAAAAUAAUAUAUAUCUAUAUACCUCUGUAUAACUAAUAUUAAAUACUUCCUGCGUUCCAAAUUAUAAGUCAUUCCAAGAAUCUUGAGAGUCAAAACAUUUUCAAAUUUGACCAAAAAUAUAGAGAGAAAUAUAAAAAUUUAUAUCAUAAAAUAGGUACACUAUGAAAAUAUAACUAAUAAAGAAUCUUAUGAUACUUGGUUGGUACCAAAAAUGUUAUUAUUUUGCUAUAUAAAUUUAGUCAAACUUGAAAAACUUUGACUCUCCAAGAUUCUUGGAAUGACUUAUAAUUUGGGUGUGUGGCCAUAAUUUUCGUCUGACAUCUCUUCCUCGGCCCUCAGACAAAAAUAAGGAAAGAAGAAAUCGGCCAAAAAAUCCAACUCGAAUAAAAAAGAGCUCUAAAUCGAACACAUACUAUGCUAUCGUACACAAGCCCUACCAUAAAAAUCCAUCACAAAAACAACAUUCUUCAAAUCUUGCACAAGGAUCCAAAAUUCAUACCAAAAUCGACCAUAAAUUAAAUACAUUUAGGCAGUAGAUUGAAUCGAACUGUAUAACCAUUCGAAAUCGAAAAAAGACAGUUCAAAGAAGGGAAGGAAGGAAAAAUCCGUAAUCAUGCCACAACAGCAUCAGAUCGAGAGGGAGGAGGCGCGCUAAAGGAUGCGGAUGGAGGUGGCGCACCAACAUCAGAUCGAGAGAGAGGAAGCGCGCUAGAGGAUGCGGGUGGAGAUGAUGCACCGAAGGAAACUCCCUGUGUUUGGCUCUCGUGCGCCACCGACCGGCCUAAUGACGCCACCAUCAAACACCGGUAACUCCAAACGGCUCGGCCACAACUCCGGAUCUACAUGCUCGUGGGCUAGCGAAGGGGGCGCCGAGGUCACCUACUUGCCUGAAUCCAAGCGCGUGGCGGAGCGGAUGCGGGCCUCUGAAUCCAAGCGUGUGGAGUUGGGGAGGAAGCGAGCAAAUGUCAUUUGCCUUGGAGCAAGGGGCGACGGCCGACGGGUGAAUGGAUGACGGACCAAAGGACAUGCGUUUGGAUAUAUGCAGCAGAAAGAUGUGGAGCAGGAGGUGCCACGUAAGUAUUCUCUCCUCUUGAUUUUCCUGAAUUAAUCUCCUCUUCGGCUUUAUGAAGCUCUUCUCUUGGUUUGGGCCUUAUUUAGUUUUAAAAUUUCUUAACAAAAUGGAUACUGUAACACUUCGUUUGCAAUCAUAUUAACUACACUUAAAAAAAUCGUCUCGCAAAUUACAGUCAAACUAUACAAUUAGUUAUUUUUUAAUCUAUAUUUAAUGCUCUAUGCAUAUGCCG
rnacentral:lncRNA from 1 species